rnacentral:rRNA from 1 species
GAUGAACGCUGGCGGCGUGCUUAACACAUGCAAGUCGAGCGAAGCAAUUCAAAUGAAGUUUUCGGAUGGAUUUUGAAUUGACUUAGCGGCGGACGGGUGAGUAACGCGUGGGUAACCUGCCUCAUACAGGGGGAUAACAGUUGGAAACGACUGCUAAUACCGCAUAAGCACACAGUAUCGCAUGGUACAGUGUGAAAAACUCCGGUGGUAUGAGAUGGACCCGCGUCUGAUUAGGUAGUUGGUGAGGUAAUGGCCCACCAAGCCGACGAUCAGUAGCCGACCUGAGAGGGUGAGCGGCCACAUUGGGACUGAGACACGGCCCAAACUCCUACGGGAGGCAGCAGUGGGGAAUAUUGGACAAUGGGGGAAACCCUGAUCCAGCGACGCCGCGUGAGUGAAGAAGUAUUUCGGUAUGUAAAGCUCUAUCAGCAGGGAAGAAAAUGACGGUACCUGACUAAGAAGCCCCGGCUAACUACGUGCCAGCCGCCGCGGUAACAC